CAAAAACAUAGCUGCAUGUUAAUAUAUGUAGUAACUCCUGCCCAAUGAUCUAUUAAAUGGCCGCAGUACCCUGACUGUGCAAAGGUAGCAUAAUCAGUUGACUUAUAAUUGGAGUCUAGAAUGAAUGGAGACAUGGGAGUUAACUAUCAUAGAGAUAUUUAUUAAAAUUACUAAGUAAGUGUAAAUGCUUACUAAUAAAUAAUAGACGAGAAGACCCUAGAAAUUUUAAGAUACUAUUUAUACUUUUUGUUGGGGCAACAGUGUAACUAUUAACUUACCACUAUUUACACGACGUGGAUUUACUGGAAGAAUAAAUUACUCUAGGGAUAACAGCAUAAUUUUGGAAAGUUUGUGACCUCGAUGUUGGAUUAGGAUGUUUAAGCUUAGAAAGCUACUAAUUGUGCUCUGUUCGAGCA
rnacentral:rRNA from 1 species